rnacentral:rRNA from 1 species
AUUGAACGCUGGCGGCAGGCCUAACACAUGCAAGUCGAGCGAGCGGCGGACGGGUGAGUAAUGUAUGGGGACUGCCCGAUAGAGGGGGAUAACUACUGGAAACGGUAGCUCAUACCGCAUACUAUCGGAUAACCUAUAUGGGAUUAGCUAGUAGGUGAGGUAAUGGCUCACCUAGGCGACGAUCCCUAGCUGGUUUGAGAGGAUGACCAGCAACACUGGGACUGAGACACGGCCCAUACUCCUACGGAGGCAGCAGUUGGGAAUAUUGCACAAUGGGCGCAAGCCUGAUGCAGCCAUGCCGCGUGUGUGAAGAAGGCCCUCGGGUUGUAAAGUACUUUCAGUCGGGAGGCGUUACCGACAGAAGAAGCACCGGCUAACUCCGUGCCAGCCGCCGCGGUAAUUC